rnacentral:lncRNA from 1 species
GUCUGCUCGGUGUUUUCAGGCGGAGCUCUGGGCCCCAUGUAGGGCACUCGUCUCGGUACCGUCUCCAUUCUCGUCCGUGCAGUGGGAAGUGAAAUGUCAGCACUGUAUGAUCAUCGUGGGUGGGAAGGCCCCGCUCCCCUACUUGGAGCUGCAUUUCACAGUGGUCUUCUGUAGGUAGAUGUACUGCGAUCCCAGGGUAUGCUUGAGCUGAAUCAUUAAAAGUCAG